rnacentral:lncRNA from 1 species
GCCGGCUGGGGCUCUGGCACUUCUGAUGAUUCCUCUUGAGGAACAGGGAUAUCCUCACGAGGGGGUUGGUUUGGAGCGGAUGAGCUUGCUGGUGGAAGACCUGAACGUGUGUUUACCAUGGCUUUUGGUAGCGUUUCCCACAGACGGCGCCAAUGAUGCUACCAAAAAUCGUACCUGCAGAUUUUCCGAGCUUGAUGACUGAUGAGGAGCACGAACGUGAUCUUCCGAUACCUGAAACAAAGGCAA